CGGCUGUAGCUAAAUUAAACCUGCUGGGGAGUUUACUGGGCGGUUGUUGUGAUCACUGUUGACUAAUCUGCUUACCGAACUUCUCACAAUU